rnacentral:rRNA from 1 species
AUUGAACGCUGGCGGCAGGCCUAACACAUGCAAGUCGAGCGAGCGGCGCACGGGUGAGUAAUGUCUGGGAAACUGCCUGCUUUAGGGGGAUAACUACUGUAAACGGUAGCUAAUACCGCAUACCAUCAGAUUUGCCCCGAUGGGAUUAGCUAGUAGGUGGGGUAACGGCUCACCUAGGCGACGAUCCCUCGCUGUUCUGAGAGGAUAACCAGCAACACGGGAACGGAGAAACGGUCCAGACUCCGACGGGAGGCAGAAGUGGGGAAUAUGGCACAAGGGGGGAAAGCCUGAGGCAGACAUGCCGGGGGGGGGAAGAAGGCCUUCGGGUUGUAAAGCACUUUCAGCGGGGAGGCGUUACCCGAAGAAGAAGCACCGGCUAACUCCGUGCCAGCAGCCGCGGUAAUAC